UGCCAGCCGCCGCGGUAAUACGGAGGGAGCUAGCGUUGUUCGGAAUUACUGGGCGUGUAGGCGGCCUAUUAAGUCAGAUGUGAAAGCCCACGGCUCAACCGUGGAACAGCCUUCGAUACGGCAGGUCUUGAGUGUGAGAGAGGUAGGUGGAAUUCCUGGUGUAGCGGUGAAAUGCGUAGAUAUCAGGAGGAACACCAGUGGCGAAGGCGGCCUACUGGCUCACUACUGACGCUCAGGGACGAAAGCGUGGGGAGCGAACAGGAUUAGAUA
rnacentral:rRNA from 1 species